GGGGACCCCUCGUACGGUGUCACCUCGCUGAACUCCCCCAGGGCUUGACGGCAGCAAGGGCAGGCGGGCUCUGGCAGGUGUACGAGGGGUCGCUCUC
rnacentral:SRP_RNA from 1 species